GGGGGCGUAGCUCAGCGGUAGAGCAACGGUUUUUUAAGCCGUGGGUCGUGGGUUCGAUCCCCACCGCCCUCACCA
rnacentral:tRNA from 1 species